UCGGAGGGAGAGAUUAUGCGGCUGCACACAACUGUUGUUUUAAUCCCCUGAGCGGAGAGAUUUAGCAAAAAAAAAAAAACCCAACGGGUUUUAACCUCAGCAGCCAUAUUGCGUGGAAAACCGGAGGGGGAAAAAGAGUAGGUUCUGUGGAAUAAGUGAUCUUCCAAGACGUCCUUAAGCGACACCUCCAGAGUUGGAUUUCCUCUCGCUGGUGCGCGGCUAAAUGGCCAGCUGGUAGAAGAAGUGAGAGGUCUGCGACUUGUUUCUUCAAUCAUAUCGCAUAAACAGUCGUUUCUUGUCCUGUGUGGAGGGUUGGGAUAAGCGUCGCCGAGAUGAAGGACCGACUGGAGCAACUCAAAGCGACGUGUGACCAAGAUGACGAUGAGGUGGAGAUCUCCAUGGACAAUGCAGCCUUCAUGGACGAGUUCUUCUGUCAGAUUGAGGACAUCAGGAGCAGUAUUGAUAAGAUUGAUGAGAACGUGGCUGAAGUCAAGAAGCUCUACUCCGUCAUCCUGUCUGCUCCCACAUCAGACCAAAAAACGCAGGAUGAGCUGGAGGCCAUCACCAACGACAUAAAGAAAAUGGCCAACAAUGCCAGAAACAAACUCAAGACCAUCGAGAGGAACCUGGAGUCUGAUGAGCAGGAGAGGGUGUCGGCUGACAUGAGGAUACGUAAAUCACAGCAUGCAGUUCUUUCCAGGAAGUUCGUCGAGGUGAUGACAAAGUACAACGAAGCCCAGGUGGACUUCAGGGAGAGAAGUAAAGGACGUAUCCAGAGACAGCUAGAGAUCACCGGAAAAGCCACAACAGAUGAUGAGCUGGAGGAGAUGCUGGAGAGCGGCAAUGCUGCUGUGUUCACUGCAGGGAUUGUGGACUCGGGGAUAUCCAAGCAGGCCCUGAGUGAGAUCGAAGCCAGACACAAAGACAUAGUCCGUCUGGAGAGCAGCAUUAAGGAACUCCACGACAUGUUUGUAGACAUCGCCAUGCUGGUGGAGAGCCAGGGGGAAAUAGUAGACAACAUAGAGCAGAAUGUGGGGAAGUCGGUUGACCACAUAGCAGUGGCUCAGAUGGAGACCAAAAAAGCUGUAAGGUAUCAGAAAAAGGCUCGUAAGGUACUGUACUCCAUCUUAGACCUCCACAAUAUUCAGAAUCUGCUGAUGAAAAUGGCUUUCGGCUGCAUUUCUUUAAUUUCUCCUCAGUUUCCCUGUUCUUCGUUUCUCAGACACCAUCACACACACAGUGUAAUAUCCAGAGCUGACCAAACGCUCUCCCCGCCUACACACACUCUUCCGACACCCUCUGUGUGCAUCGUUUCUGCAUCUCCUUUUCUUCUUCUCUCUUUCUUAAACGUUUUCCGACGCAACCUCGUUCGACGUCCCGCCCCCCUGCCCCCUUCCGUCAGGGUGGAAUGAUUGAAAGGAUUGAGAGCAACAUGGACCAAUCGGUGGGCUUUGUGGAGCGGGCGGUAGCCGAUACUAAGAAAGCCGCAAAGUUUCAGCAAGAGGCCCGCCGCAAGUUGAUCAUCAUCGGCGUGGUCUGUGCCGUUAUCGCCGCCAUCCUCCUCAUCGUCAUCCUUACCCAGACAUUAUAGAAGGACCUCGCUCUCUCUCCCUCCCUCUCUCUCUCCCCCUGAAAAUCAUCAUCUCAUUACCAAUCACUCCGUUCAUCAGCUGUCCCUCGGGGAUAGAAAGGGAAAAGACUGAAUUCCUCAACGCCGUAUGGAUGUAAGCAUUCCUCACCCUCAGUUGAACAUCUGUUCAAGAAAUGCCAUGGGGGGGGGGGGGUCUGAUGAAUAGAAAAUGCCCCGGGGGGCACAUCUGACUGAUAACAUAGAGGAGCAAUAGAAGAGCGGGACUUCUCAUGGAAAGGUACCUUGACAGGGCCACCUACCAAUACAGUCAGACUGUCCGAUGCUUCCACAUCUGUCCUUUAGGUUCAGGCUGGGCUGGUUUGACACCCCUCCGCCGCCCCCCGCCCCCCCAAAAUGGAUUUGAGGGGUUGAGGACUCACUCUGCUGCCAGAUCAAGCAUCAAAACCAGACAAGGGACAGUACCUGUUGUCUCUCAUUUGAAAGGGAAAGAAAAAGGGAAUUUUGUAAAACUCACACACACACAAAAAAAAAGACUAUCACACAACAAUUUAAAACAUUUCAGCUGCAACAUUUCAGUGUCUAAUGUGAUGUGUACAUGAAGUUGUUCAUUUGAUUGCAAUGUUUAGUCAGUCAAUGUUGUGAAACCCCAUUGCUGCCAUUAAUUCUUGCCAUUGAGCCUUGACACAUUUUACGAUGUAAAGCUAGCUAUUUUCCACAGAUAGGGGAUUUCAUUGGUGGGUGGGUGGGGAGCAUCCAAGCACUUUCAGAUUGAAGACAUGUCUUUGUAUGAUUAACUUAGAUGGUCACGUAUGUUAAUGCAUCAUUGGCUGAACGCUGUUGAGUUCACCAACUUGGGAGGGGAACAGCGGACUCCUCUCAUCUAUGAUCCUUGAGUUUAAAAAUCUCAGUAGUUUCGAUUUUUAUAUGUAAUGAGCGGUGAUUCUAGCAGAUGCAGAGGUGGAGCAAGAGGAAACAAAAAAAAAAAAAGGAAAAGGUUUGAGGAUGCAUGCUCGCUCCUGACUCACAUUGAAAACGGUUGCAAACUUAAUGAACAUGAGCCUGCCAUGAUGGUAGCCGUUGUGUUUGACACCCAUGUGACCUUCUCCACAGUCUGCAGACUUUCACACCGCAAGAGUAGAUGAGAUGGUUAGCGUAGCUAGUCAAUUGCCUGUUUCCCAUGAGUGCCUAGCUCGUUCAUGUGUAUUUUUAAUGCUUUUUGAUGCCGCCGCUGACACGUUUUGAUGAUCAGCACACAAAGCGGUUCAGCUGAGGGGAAACGCCAGCCUCAAAUUGUCCAAGCUUUCUGGGGUCGGCUCUCUUCCGUGACAGAUCUUAUGAUCCCUUUUGAUGAAUAUUCAGCUCUGUGUUGACAUACAAAACCCUUGCAAUCACCAUCAUCAUCUUAAUAGGCUGUUGUCCACAUAUAAGCAGUAGCUGUGAGAAUAGCAGUCCCCCUAUCCACAGUGGCCAAGUGGUUAUCUAGCCUCCUGCUGCUAACAAUUGUGGCCUUAUUCCAGUGUCUCCUUCCCCAACUGUGUAUUCAUGGAUGAUUCUUAAAUGGCAUCUGGGAUGACAUGACCUACCACUAUCGUAUAACCCAGUGCCUUGACGAUAUCCAUAUACUCACUCUGUCUGAGUAUGAUAGACCAAGGGCAUGACAAAAAAUGCACCCAACAUCAUUUUAGAGCCUCGUUCAGACUGCCAACCCAAAUCCUUUUCUUUUUUUUUGGCAUAUCCAGAUUGAUUUUAGAAAGUCCGGAAAGCAACAAAAAAAACCAAAACCCAAAUCACAUGAAAUGUGAUUUUUGCAAAUCGGAUUCAAACCACAUUUGGAGGUGGUUUGAAAUGCGACUCCAAUCAGAUUUCUACAGAAGCAUCUCAGUCCGGACGCUCUGGCCGCACAAAUCGGAUUUCAAACUGUCUUUUGCGUCACUCGCAACACGACACACAACAACGUCAAAUCCAGAGUGCCCACCAUGACAGCUUGCAGGGAACAUCACAAUGUAUACCAGCCUCCUCCGUUGCAGAGUUUGUCUGGUGCGACGGAGGAGUUCUGCACCACGACUUGACAGAGCGAUUGUUUGGAGAGUGAGAUUGAUGGCUGUCUAUUUCUCAUGCUUCCUUAUUGGUAAACCGCAUCACCAGCAUAUAGUUACUCACACCUAUGUUGUUACCACAGCAACCCAUGCAGAUAGAUUGUUGAUGUCUGGACACACACAUCCGAUCGGAUCACUUGUUCAUCCGAUCUGAUCACAAUAGUGUGAACAGUCUGUCUUGAGAAAUCCGAUUUUCCAGCAGUCUGAACAAGGCGUCUAAAUGGUGUUAAAUAUGGAGCCUGACUCCUCCCAUUAAUCGUUUAUUCUAAGAAAAUAAUUUCAGAUAAGGCCCUUCAUCCCUCAGACUGGUCUGGACCAUACAUUCUGUUCUUGGGUUGCUACCAUGAGACUGGUCCAAUCAAAUGCCCCCAGACAAAGCUAGUAGUUUACAUCACAUUAGCCAGCUGCGAGGGCUUACAUGGGUAAAAGAUGGAAAAAUGUAAUCCAUGAAGACUGUUUUGAAUUUUUUGAAUGUAAAUUAUGGUGCCAAAGAUUUCAA